UCCCAAUGCGGGCUCCAUCGCAGGACCCUGGGAUCGUGAGCUCUAGGUAUCAGUCUCCUGGCCUGAAAUUAGGAUCUUUCAGUGGGUGUUUAGCCAUUAAUGAACACCUGUUUGGAAAUCUUGAGGAUAUUCUCCAUUAAAUGUGGUAGAGACACAGAGAGAGCACAAGCAGGUAGAGGCAGAGGGA